UUUGAACAUAAAAUAUUGAGUAAAAUGUUGAUAUGGGACCUGAUCCCCAUAAGUAAAGUGAAGGUUAAAUAAAAUAAUGUAUGUAAAGUUUCUGGCAUAUAUACUGUGCUAUUUAAAUUCUAGCCAUAAUUGUUUUGUUCACAUAUGUAAUUUUCUAGGCCUAAUUAAAAUAAAACAAAGCCAAGCAGAUUUAUACCACACUCUUAAGUUUACCUAACCACUUUCUUUGGUUGCUUAGCAAUGAAGGACAAUGGGACAAAGCUACCAGUGUGACCAAAUACCAAAUUUACAUGAUUGGAAUUUUAGCCCCAAGAAGUCUUUCAAUAGUAGACAUUGUCCUAAUGUGAAAAUGACAGUAAACACUCCAUAUCUGGCUUUGCACUCAUAAUGAAAUACGUUCCCAGAUACAAAAGCUAUACUCCUUUGUAAUGAUAAUUUACAACUGUGAGACAUUUUCAUCAAGAAACUGCUUAUAACUUAAAGAUUCAGUUAAAAAAAACCCACCAACUCUGUGAAGCUUUUCCUGAACUCCACACUACCACAAUUCACAACAGAGUUAAUCACUUACUCUGCAAGUAGCCUUUAUAGCCCUUGUCACAUUUCACCGUCCUUUUAUCAUCUUCUGAUCUUCCUUCUCAGAAAGCCAGGUGUCUUAGAACACAGUCUGCAACUUAUUCAUCAUUGAAAUCACACUUCCUGGUUCAGUCGCUAGCACAUGGAAAACAUUCAGUAAAUGUCUAGUGAACAAAUAAAAUAAUUAUUUAACUAACUGGUGGAAAGGCAAAAACAAUCAUUCCCAUCAGCAAUAAGACUCAAAAAUCUGCAGCAUGUGAUCACUUGAAACACAUCAAUGCUAACAUCUAGAGAGGAAUGUUCAUAAAACAGCCUGGCCAUGUCAUACUGGAGAAAAGUAAGAAUGAUCACUGAGGGACUUAGAGAAUGUGAAUCAGUCUACCAGCAAGUGUUCCCCAAACUGUCAUCUCAACCUCUCAUCUUGGAGGAUGAAUUCUUAAGGCAACUAAGAGAAGAGUAUCAGAGAGCUGUGCUGAAGAAAGAACCAGUUCAAGAAAGUCACUGAGCUUUGAAGAAGGUGGUUGCCGGUGACACAUCUGUUUAGGAAUUAUUCAAAAAGCAACAGAAGAGACAUGGACCCCUUCAUGUCUGUAAGUCCAAUACCACGUCUGAAACUUUUAUCAGCUAGAAAUAUAAGCUGAAUUUGUACCCAAUUUUCCUUUUGACCCUUGGAAUUCCUCAGCAGAUACUGUUAUGCUUUGGUAACAAAGAACCACCAAGUCCCAGCAGCCUAAAACAACAAAAGUUUCUUUCUUUCCCACAUGAAUGUCCACUGGCUGGUGGUUUUGCUCUGUACCAUCCUCACUCAAGACCCAGGCUAAUGAAGCAUCCCAUCUGGAACAUCACCUUGGCAGACAGAGCAAAGGAGCUCUUGAGGGUCAGGCAGCAGCAACUAAAUGCUCCAGCUCAAAAGCCACAUGUGUCAUUUCUGCAAAUGACACACAUUUUCCAAAAGUCGUCAGUGGUCCCACCCAACCACAAGGUAGCAAGCAGUGCCUUCCUACCUUGUGCCCAGAAGCUGAGGAGCCAGCACAAACCACCACACCCUAAGACUAACUCGUUCCGGAGGUACGCCUUGACAGAUCAUCAAAAUCUAGUAAAAGGGAUUAUCUUCUUUUCAGUUAGGAAAAACCAAAAUCAAACCAAACCAAACCAAAAAAUCUUCUCUCCUGUUAAUUUUUUAGCCUCAAGUUUGCCUUUAAAGAAAUGCACUAUACUCUGUGUACAGCCAUUAUAUGAGGCAAAAGAAAACAGACACAAAGAUGGAAUACUGCAUGAAAACAUAAAGUUCAGAAACAAGUAAACCUAACUGACAGUGAUGGAACACACAAAGGUGGUUACCCUGAGGGUUUAAUUCUGACCGGAAAGACUGUCUUCAAGGGGCUAGAAAGGUUCUUUCUCUGCAUAUACAUACAUAAAAGUUGAUUGAACUAUACUCCUAAGAUUGGGUCAUUAAAUGCGUGUUAUAACCUAAAAAAAUUUUUUUCUCAUAUGUAGAACAUAGACAUUAAUGGAAGCUGGGGAGAAACGAAUGAUUCAUGUAAAUCCAUUUCUUAACUGGCACGUUGUUUAAAAAAAUGCAUCUAUAAGUAAAAAAAACUAUUCA